AGGAAGAAGAGGAGGCUGCUGAGGAUGGAGAGGAGGAGGAGGAAGGGGAAGAAGAAGAUGAGGAAGAAGACGAAGAGGAUGACGAGGGGCCGGCGCUGAAGAGAGCUGCUGAAGAGGAGGACGAAGCGGAUCCCAAGCGGCAGAAGACAGAAAAUGGGGCAUCGGCAUGAGCCCCUGCCAAUGGGCUGGGAGUGGGAGGGCCCUCGGGGCCUGGAGGUUGGGUGGGAGCAGACAAGUCCAGCCACCCUGCACCUGGUCCCUGCGCUGGGCCCAGCCCCAGAGCCACACCCCUUCUUCCUCUCCAGCCUUCUCCUUUCUGCCUCUCCAGACACUGCUCCUCCACCCUCACUCUGCCACUGUCCCACCUUCUGACCUGCUCCAUCUGAGCUCCCCAGCGGUCCCCAAUUGUUCCUCUCUCUUUCCCUCUCUCUUCCUCCUGCCCGCACCAACCCCACCUCCUCUGGUAGCCUCACCUACCUAACCUCUGCACCCCAGUCCCAUGUCCUGCCCAUCCCUAUCCUGCCUGACCCCUGGAUCUCCCUCAGAUCCCCACCUCUCAGACAGCGCCAGGCCGGGGUGGGGCCGGGGUUGGGGCCGAGCCCCACAGCUGCCCCCCUCCCCUCCCCUUUUUGUAUAAUUUAAUAAAGAAAUGGUCGCGCUUCUGUUUUUAA